rnacentral:rRNA from 1 species
ACACAUGCAAGUCGAGGGGCAGCGGGAUUGAAGCUUGCUUCAAUUGCCGGCGACCGGCGCACGGGUGAGUAACGCGUAUCCAACCUUCCGUACACUCAGGGAUAGCCUUUCGAAAGAAAGAUUAAUACCUGAUGGUAUGAUGAGAUUGCAUGAUAGCAUCAUUAAAGAUUUAUCGGUGUAUGAUGGGGAUGCGUUCCAUUAGGUAGUAGGCGGGGUAACGGCCCACCUAGCCAACGAUGGAUAGGGGUUCUGAGAGGAAGGUCCCCCACAUUGGAACUGAGACACGGUCCAAACUCCUACGGGAGGCAGCAGUGAGGAAUAUUGGUCAAUGGACGAGAGUCUGAACCAGCCAAGUAGCGUGAAGGAUGAAGGUCUUACGGAUUGUAAACUUCUUUUAUAAGGGAAUAAAACCUCCCACGUGUGGGAGCUUGUAUGUACCUUAUGAAUAAGCAUCGGCUAACUCCGUGCCAGCAGCCGCGGUAAUACGGAGGAUGCGAGCGUUAUCCGGAUUUAUUGGGUUUAAAGGGAGCGCAGACGGGUCGUUAAGUCAGCUGUGAAAGUUUGGGGCUCAACCUUAAAAUUGCAGUUGAUACUGGCGUCCUUGAGUGCGGUUGAGGUGUGCGGAAUUCGUGGUGUAGCGGUGAAAUGCUUAGAUAUCACGAAGAACUCCGAUUGCGAAGGCAGCACACUAAGCCGUAACUGACGUUCAUGCUCGAAAGUGUGGGUAUCAAACAGGAUUAGAUACCCUGGUAGUCCACACGGUAAACGAUGGAUACUCGCUGUUGGCGAUAUACGGUCAGCGGCUUAGCGAAAGCGUUAAGUAUCCCACCUGGGGAGUACGCCGGCAACGGUGAAACUCAAAGGAAUUGACGGGGGCCCGCACAAGCGGA